GACGAACCGUGCGACCGUUGUUCGGAAUCACUGGGCUUAAAGGGCGCGUAGGCGGCCCGCCGCGUCCGGGGUGAAAUCCUCCCGCUCAACGGGAGAACGGCCUCGGAUACGGGCGGGCUGGAGGGGGGUAGGGGCGGGCGGAACUGUGGGUGGAGCGGUGAAAUGCGUUGAGAUCCACAGGAACUCCGGUGGCGAAGGCGGCCCGCUGGACCCCACCUGACGCUGAGGCGCGAAAGCCAGGGGAGCGAACGGG
rnacentral:rRNA from 1 species